rnacentral:rRNA from 1 species
UCGAGGGGCAGCGGGGGAGUACAAUACUCCCGCCGGCGACCGGCGCACGGGUGAGUAACACGUAUGAAACCUGCCCGUAGCAGGGGGAUAAGCGGAAGAAAUUCCGUCUAAUACCGCGUAACAACCCAUGGAGGCAUCUCCGUGGGUUUAAAGGAAGCGAUUCCGGCUACGGAUGGUCAUGCGUCGCAUUAGCUUGUUGGCGGGGUAACGGCCCACCAAGGCGACGAUGCGUAGGGGUUCUGAGAGGAAGGUCCCCCACACUGGUACUGAGACACGGACCAGACUCCUACGGGAGGCAGCAGUGAGGAAUAUUGGUCAAUGGCCGCAGGGCUGAACCAGCCAAGUCGCGUGAGGGAUGACGGUCCUAUGGAUUGUAAACCUCUUUUGUCAGGGAGCAAAGGGCGCCACGUGUGGCGUUUUGCGAGUACCUGAAGAAAAAGCAUCGGCUAACUCCGUGCCAGCAGCCGCGGUAAUACGGAGGAUGCGAGCGUUAUCCGGAUUUAUUGGGUUUAAAGGGUGCGCAGGCGGAAUGUCAAGUCAGCGGUAAAAUUUCGGGGCUCAACCCCGUCGUGCCGUUGAAACUGGCGUUCUUGAGUGAAGUAGAGGCAAGCGGAAUUCCUAGUGUAGCGGUGAAAUGCGUAGAUAU